AAGGGGGUUGAGGGGCCAGUAAACAAGUUUGGUUUGAGACAAAGAGGAGUAACUUGGAAGGUGGCAGUGUGUGACUGGUGCCUUAUUUAAUUAACAUGGAUUUACGCUGAUCUGGACGGUGACACGGACAACAACUGCCUGUGUGUGUGUGUGUGUGUGUGUGAGUGAGAUGGUGCAAGCUUGAUCUCUGGCUUUGGGGGCCAGGAGCUGCUGCCAAUGACGGCCAACACCACUGCAAUAUUGAUAAUUCCGUGUCGCCCACAAGGACGGUCAAGAGAUGAUAGUGAGAGGUUGGAGUCUGCCACCACCAACACCACCGCCGUUCUGCCUCACUUCAGCUUUCAUCACAUCGAAACCUGCCAUUGACAGUUAUAUCUUAAGUUCUUAACAUCUGAUGGCCAAGCAUAGUCAUGUGGCUCUAUUUAGUGACAGGAGUGGCAGAAAAACAGAGCAAAGUAUUAGCUAAACACAGCUGGCGUCGGCCCACUUGAUGACGUCACACCCCUGGCCGGCCGGGCGGCGAAAUUUUUUUUCCCAAACGAUUUGGAGUGUGGGGGCGGGGCUUAAGUGAUGCGUGUGUAGAGAAAACGAAUUUUAUGGUUAACUUAAUGAUAUUUUAUUAACAAUCACGCUCUCUCUCUCUCUCUCUUGGUUAUGGAAUGUAUAUCUAUAACUAAAUGAAGGGUUCUCAACUUUUUUGGUAGACGUAUCUCCUGUGCUAGACUACUGGAGAGGAAUUCUGUGGAUACGUGACAGGUAAUACAAUAGUUAUUCUUGCUAGUUUUCUAUAGAUCGCGUCGUUUCUCGCGCGUACGAAACAGGUAUCGUCAUCAUAAGCACGACUGUUAACACGCAGAUAUCAAAAGAUUUCCUUCUCUCGUGUGUCAUACUUUGAAGGUUUCGAGCAUGGAGAAUUGUUAAAUCAAGAGCAGGUACCGUCAUCACAAAUAAGACAUCAGAAAAUUUCCUUCUCUCGUGUGCCAUGCCUUGAAAGGUGUUUCAAACAAUUUUACCUUAUAUCUGAAAUGUACUCAUUAAGUUUAUUAGUCAUAGUAUAAG